GGCGUUUGGUGCUUUUGCCGGUCAACUUAAGGGAGCUCCUGCGGCCGCAACACGGGGUGCUCCGGCUGGCUCCUAGGUAGCGUUGGUUCCCCUUAGUCUCAGGCACCUUCCCUCCAAAAAGCGCUCUCCUGGCGGAUUUCAAAAUGGUUCAAAACUGCAAACCAAGUUGUCCGGGAACUGCACGGUCACCUGAAACCGAAAAAAGUUCUAUAACAUUCGUGGCUAAGUCCUGCUGAGGUGACCGGUAACCCACGAAGUCCUCAUGCCGAAAUUAGUUCCAUAGCAGUCGCGGCUAAGAACCAUUGGGACUAUUCAUGGG